AACGGACUGUUCAAUUUAUUGUUCAGUUAGCUGGCGAAAGGGUUAGUAACGGGUAGGUAACGUACCCUGUGCUUUGGGAUAGCGUCAGUUGCUUCGGCAACUUUCCGAAAGGGGCGGUAAUACCAAAUAAUAUCAUUUGUCGAUAGGCGAAUGAUCAAAGAUUUAUCGGCACGGGAGCGGCCUGCCUCCUAUCAGCUUGUUGGUGAGGUAAUGGCUCACUAAGGCAGCGACGGGUAGCGGGACUGAGAGGUUGGCCCGCAACAUCGGGACUGAGACACUGCCCGGACCUCCACGGAGGGCUGCAGUAACGGAUAUUGCGCAAUGGGCGAAAGCCUGACGCAGCGACGCCGCGUGUAGGAUGAAGUCUUUCGGGAUGUAAACUACUGUCAGGGGGAAGAAAGUGCGCUUCGGCGUAUUGAUCUAACCCAGAGGAAGUCACGGCUAACUUCGUGCCAGCAGCCGCGGUAAGACGAAGGUGGCAAGCGUUGUUCGGUAUUACUGGGCUUAAAGCGUGUGUAGGCGGAAAUGUAAGCGUUGUGUGAAAGCCCCCGGCUUAACCGGGGAACUGCACAACGAACUACAUUUCUUGAGGCAAGUAGGGGUACAUGGAACUCUUGGUGGAGCGGUGGAAUGCGUAGAUAUCAAGAGGAACGCCAGUGGAGAAAUCGGUGUACUGGGCUUGUACUGACGCUGAGACACGAAAGCGUGGGGAGCGAACGGGAUUAGAUACCCCGGUAGUCCACGCCGUAAACGAUGCCUACUAGGUUGUGGUGGUUCUGACACCAGCACAGCCGAAGCAAAAGUGUUAAGUAGGCCGCCUGGGGGA
rnacentral:rRNA from 1 species